rnacentral:rRNA from 1 species
AGAUGAAAGGAGCAAAUGUUCCGCUUUGGGAUGAGCCUGCGGUCCAUUAGCUAGUUGGUAGGGUAAAGGCCUACCAAGGCUACGAUGGAUAGCCGGCCUGAGAGGGUGAACGGUCACACUGGGACUGAGACACGGCCCAGACUCCUACGGGAGGCAGCAGCUAAGAAUCUUCCGCAAUGGGGGAAACCCUGACGGAGCGACGCCGAGUGGACGAUGAAGGCCUAGAGGUUGUAAAGUCCUUUUGCAGACGAAGAAUAAGGCAAGGAGUGGAACGCCUUGCUGAUGACGUUAGUCUUGCGAAUAAGCCCCGGCCAAUUACGUGCCAGCAGCCGCGGUAACACGUAUGGGGCGAGCGUUGUUCGGAAUUAUUGGGCGUAAAGGGCGCGUAGGCGGUGCUAUAAGCUUGGUGUGAAAUCCCCCGGCCUAACAGGGGAAUAGCGCUGAGAACUGUAGUGCUUGAGUUCUGGAGAGGAAGCUGGAAUUCCUGGUGUAGGGGUGAAAUCUGUAGAUAUCAGGAAGAACACCGGUGGCGAAGGCGGGCUUCUGGCCAGAAACUGACGCUGAGGCGCGAAAGCGUGGGGAGCGAACAGGAUUAGAUACCCUGGUAGUCCACGCUGUAAACGAUGUGCACUGGGUGUCGGGGCUUUAAUGGGUCUCGGUGCCGUAGUUAACGCGAUAAGUGCACCGCCUGGGGAGUAUGCUCGCAAGGGUGAAACUCAAAGGAAUUGACGGGGGCCCGCACAAGCGGUGGAGCAUGUGGUUUAAUUCGAUACGCGAGGAACCUUACCAGGGCUUGACAUGUACCUGACGGUCUGUGAGAGCAGGCUUUCUCUUCUGGGACGGGUACACAGGUGCUGCAUGGUUGUCGUCAGCUCGUGUCGUGAGAUGUUGGGUUAAGUCCCGCAACGAGCGCAACCCCUACUGUCUGUUGCCAGCAUUAAGUUGGGGACUCGGACGGAACUGCCGGUGACAAACCGGAGGAAGGUGGGGAUGACGUCAAAUCAUCAUGGCCCUUAUGUCCUGGGCUACACACGUGCUACAAUGGCAGGUACAGCGCGCAGGAGCGAAACGGUGACGUGGAGCCAAUCGCUAAAAGCCUGCCUCAGUUCGGAUUGGAGUCUGAAACUCGACUCCAUGAAGGUGGAAUCGCUAGUAAUCGCGCAUCAGCAUGGCGCGGUGAAUACGUUCCCGGGCCUUGUACAACCGCCCGUCACACCACCCGAGUUGGGGGUACCCGAAGUCGCUUGUCUAACCCAUUUAUGGGGCGACGGCGCCGAAGGUAUGCCUGGUAAGGGGGGUGAAGUCGUAACAAGGUA